GACGAACGCUGGCGGCGUGCUUAACACAUGCAAGUCGAACGGAAAGGCCCUGCUUUUGUGGGGUGCUCGAGUGGCGAACGGGUGAGUAACACGUGAGUAACCUGCCCUUGACUUUGGGAUAACUUCAGGAAACUGGGGCUAAUACCGGAUAGGAGCUCCUGCUGCAUGGUGGGGGUUGGAAAGUUUCGGCGGUUGGGGAUGGACUCGCGGCUUAUCAGCUUGUUGGUGGGGUAGUGGCUUACCAAGGCUUUGACGGGUAGCCGGCCUGAGAGGGUGACCGGCCACAUUGGGACUGAGAUACGGCCCAGACUCCUACGGGAGGCAGCAGUGGGGAAUAUUGCACAAUGGGCGGAAGCCUGAUGCAGCAACGCCGCGUGCGGGAUGACGGCCUUCGGGUUGUAAACCGCUUUCGCCUGUGACGAAGCGUGAGUGACGGUAAUGGGUAAAGAAGCACCGGCUAACUACGUGCCAGCAGCCGCGGUGAUACGUAGGGUGCGAGCGUUGUCCGGAUUUAUUGGGCGUAAAGGGCUCGUAGGUGGUCGAUCGCGUCGGAAGUGUAAUCUUGGGGCUUAACCCUGAGCGUGCUUUCGAUACGGGUUGACUUGAGGAAGGUAGGGGAGAAUGGAAUUCCUGGUGGAGCGGUGGAAUGCGCAGAUAUCAGGAGGAACACCAGUGGCGAAGGCGGUUCUCUGGGCCUUUCCUGACGCUGAGGAGCGAAAGCGUGGGGAGCGAACAGGCUUAGAUACCCUGGUAGUCCACGCUGUAAACGGUGGGUACUAGGUGUGGGGUCCAUUCCACGGGUUCCGUGCCGUAGCUAACGCUUUAAGUACCCCGCCUGGGGAGUACGGCCGCAAGGCUAAAACUCAAAGGAAUUGACGGGGCCCCGCACAAGCGGCGGAGCAUGCGGAUUAAUUCGAUGCAACGCGUAGAACCUUACCUGGGUUUGACAUGGAUCGGGAGUGCUCAGAGAUGGGUGUGCCUCUUUUGGGGUCGGUUCACAGGUGGUGCAUGCCUGUCGUCAGCUCGUGUCGUGAGAUGUUGGGUUAAGUCCCGCAACGAGCGCAACCCUUGUUCACUGUUGCCAGCACGUUAUGGUGGGGACUCAGUGGAGACCGCCGGGGUCAACUCGGAGGAAGGUGGGGAUGACGUCAAGUCAUCAUGCCCCUUAUGUCCAGGGCUUCACGCAUGCUACAAUGGCUGGUACAGAGAGUGGCGAGCCUGUGAGGGUGAGCGAAUCUCGGAAAGCCGGUCUCAGUUCGGAUUGGGGUCUGCAACUCGACCUCAUGAAGUCGGAGCCGCUAGUAAUCGCAGAUCAGCAACGCUGCGGUGAAUACGUUCCCGGGGCU
rnacentral:rRNA from 1 species